AUUGAACGCUGGCGGCAUGCCUUACACAUGCAAGUCGAACGGUAACGGGCCUUCGGGUGCCGACGAGUGGCGAACGGGUGAGUAAUGCAUCGGAACGUACCUUUCAGUGGGGGAUAACGCAGCGAAAGUUACGCUAAUACCGCAUAUUCUGUGAGCAGGAAAGCAGGGGAUCGCAAGACCUUGCGCUGAUUGAGCGGCCGAUGUCAGAUUAGCUAGGUGGUGAGGUAAAGGCUCACCAAGGCGACGAUCUGUAGCGGGUCUGAGAGGAUGAUCCGCCACACUGGAACGGAGACACGGUCCAGACUCCUACGGGAGGCAGCAGUGGGGAAUUUUGGACAAUGGGGGCAACCCUGAUCCAGCCAUGCCGCGUGAGUGAAGAAGGCCUUCGGGUUGUAAAGCUCUUUCGGCCGGGAAGAAAUCGUAUGGGCUAAUACCCUGUGCGGAUGACGGUACCGGCAUAAGAAGCACCGGCUAACUACGUGCCAGCCGCCGCAGUAAAAC
rnacentral:rRNA from 1 species